GUUUUAUAAAGUUCCAAAGUUCCAUUACUCUUGAUCGAAGACAAAAACAGUUCAUCAAUUAUAUACAAAGAUCCAUUGUUCCAAAUAGCUACAGAUUCAAAGCAAGGAAAAGCCUGCAACUCAAAACCAACAAACUCACGUUCCAGAUUACCAAGUACCAAGCAUUCUUCUUCAACUUUUUGAUCCAGCCAUCUGUCGCUGUCCCUUUUUUUUUUUUCUCUAAUUCUGUUGUAUUCACUUCUUGAUGCCUUCGAAAGAGACCUCCUUUUGAGAAUACAUAAUGUGCUUGUUGGAUUAAGAACCCAUGAGGCGAUGUUCACAAACCCAGCCGGAGGAUUGAGGGAUUAAUGCCUGAAGAAGUAAGACCAGAUUUCUGAGAUCCAUAAAGAGCUUCGUCUUGCUUCUUCAGCACCGUGUAUAUAAUCCUGAAUUUCCAUGAUCUGAGUCAUCUUUAUCAAACUACUUUUCCAAUGAGCAAACAACAAUUACGAGCACAUCCCAGCUGAAUUAUAGGAAAACAAGAAUCAAAAAGCUAAAUCACCCAUACCCAGAAAAACAAACAAUUUCACAAAACACUAAAUCAUCAACCCUAUAAAAACGAUACAAUGAGAAAAUGCAGGAGUAUAAUUCCCGUAACAAUUCCCGAAUCAAUACGGUUUCAUCGGGUAUUCAACCUCCGCCUCUUCUGUCUAGAACACUGAUCAAAUUGUUGCUGAGUAAAAGAAUUCGAAAUUUCCCCAAAUUCGAAACCCUAAAAUCCCCAAAUCUGUUUCAAAGUUUAACAAAUUAAAGACCACAAAGUUUAUUACCCGGAUGCUUGGAAUGGAUCUUGAUGAUGGGAUUAGAAGUCUACGGCGGCGUGAUUAAGAGUUUUCUCCGAACUGAAAAUCAUCUGGGAAGAAGAAGAGAGAAGAGAGUCGUGUGAAGGAGAAAACCCGAUGCCAAAAAAAAAAUUGUCCCCAAAUUUUUCGACCAAUCAAAGCUUUCCAUGUAUGCAUGAUACUUGGACGAUACCGUCUCUUUAGACUCUUCAGGAAGAGGCGGUUCAUCAAUAUUGAGCCAUUUUUCUUUUUUUUUUAAAUGGUUUUUGCCUAAAAAACUGAGCUAUGAACUCUCCCUGAUCCUCUGAUGGACAUGGUCUAAUAAUUAGUUGUUAAGAUCGACAUUCAACUUCAUCAAAAGCAAGUUAAUUAAUAAAAACAAAAGUAAAAAGUAACACACAAUGAAAAAUGGUGUAGUUUUACAUCAACAAUCAGUACGUGACUUAAGUAAAUUACGUUUUUAUAUUAAAAAGGGUUGUGAGGACUGAGGACAAAAAGAUGGGUGUUUACUGUUUAGGAGAGAUGGGACAUAAAGGAUGGGAAUCCAUGUGAAGGCAGCCGAAUCAGAUGCCCUCGCCAGCUUUAAUUUUUCCAUUUUUUUCCUAUUUUUUUCUUCUUCUUUUUUUUUUUUUCUUAUUGCGACGACUCUAUAUAUUCAGUGAAAUGCAUUAUCUAAACAAUACAACAAACUAGUAUAAUUUAGUUUACAUAUAACAUAUCUCUACAUUUAUUUGAAUGAGAACCAAAAACUAAAACCCAUAUAAAUCACUGUCAAACUAUUUUAUCAUCUUUGACAUGUUUCUCAAUUGAAAUCAAUAUUUAAGUGGAAAAUCAAUGGCACAAUUGUUUCAAAAUCUUGUACAUUUGCCGACUUCCCGUAAUUAAAUAACUAUAUAUAUAUAUAUAUAUAUAUAUAUUUGCCAAUUCUUUUGAUUUAAGAAAAACAUUUUAUGGAAAAAUAUAUAAUAACAUUUCAUAUCUAUCGGUUUCUUCAUGUAUAAUCAUUGAUUUGUGGCCUUUAUAAAUUUGUCCAUAUAUAGCAAAUAGCAUUAACUUUCUUUGCUCUUUAUAUUAAUAAAAAAUUUAUAUUAUUUGAAACAUAUGGUUUGUUUUCAGCUUCAAAGGCUUAUCGAUUGGUCCACCUACAUGGCUACAUCUGCAUGUGACAACCUGCAUGAUUGCCUAACGUCUACAUCUCUUUCUUUAUUGUUUAAACCCUUAUUAAUUAGCCGUCUUGAGUUCGCAUUAUUCCCAAUAACUAGAAGUAAACAACUUUAUAAGUAUUAUAUUAACCACCGAAACUUUAAAAUUAAACUAACCGGUCUAAAUACGUUGCAUUACAGUUGAACAUGCAGUUUUUCUAAUGCUUUAAUAAAUUUGUUUGAUAGUAUAAUGACCACAGCUUAAAGAAAGGCAUCAAAUGUAUAACUCAAUUAAUUCAUCCAGAACUAUGUACCAAGUUCAGUUUUAUUUUUCCCUAAAUCCCCUCUCUUCCAUUAUUAUUGGACAUGUAAUUAU
rnacentral:lncRNA from 1 species